UGGGUGCUCUUCCCGUGUUUUAAGCAGGGUUUGGAGCAGGGUUUGGUGCAGGGUUUGAAGCAGGGUUUGGAGCAGGGUUUGGUGCAGGGGAGCAGGGUUUGGUGCAGGGUUUGGUGCAGGGUUUGGUGCAGGGUUUGGAGCAGGUUUGGAGCAGGGUUUGGUGCAGGGGAGCAGGGUUUGGAGCAGGGUUUGGAGCAGGGUUUGGAGCAGGGUUUGGAGCAGGGUUUGGAGAAGGUUUGGAGCAGGGUUUGGUGCAGGGUUUGGAGCAGGUUUGGAGCAGGAUUUGAAGCAGGAUUUGAAGCAGGGUUUGGUGCAGGGUUUGAAGCAGGGUUUGAAGCAGGAUUUGGAGCAGGGUUUGGUGCAGGGUUUGGAGCAGGUUUGGAGCAGGGUUUGGUGCAGGGGAGCAGGGUUUGGAGCAGGGUUUGGAGCAGGGUUUGGUGCAGGGUUUGGAGCAGGAUUUGGAGCAGGAUUUGGAGCAGGAUUUGGAGCAGGAUUUGGAGCAGGUUUGGUGCAGGGGAGCAGGGUUUGGAGCAGGGUUUGGAGCAGGAUUUGGAGCAGGUUUGGAGCAGGAUUUGGAGCAGGGUUUGGUGCAGGGGAGCAGGGUUUGAAGCAGGGUUUGGAGCAGGGUUUGGAGCAGGGUUUGGAUUCUCUCUCUGGGGGGACAGAAAGGUUCAUUCUGCUGCUGAUCCCGGUGGGAAUGGAGCCAUUCCAGGGGCAGGGAGCUGGAAUCCUGCAAAAACAUCGGAGCUCCUCUCACAUUCCAGGCUCUGCAUAAAAACCCAGUGUUUUUUGGGAAUCAGGACAGCCAGGGCUCCUGGCAGCCUCCAGCCAUCAUUCCAGUGCUCCCUUCCAGCAGAUUUUCCUGUUUGUUCUUUCCCCUCUUGCCACUAUUUUAUUUUAUUUUAUUUUAUUUUAUUUUAUUUUAUUUUAUUUUAUUUUAUUUUAUUUUAUUUUAUUUUAUUUUAUUUUAUUUUAUUUUANNNNNNNNNNNNNNNNNNNNNNNNN
rnacentral:lncRNA from 1 species